rnacentral:rRNA from 1 species
GACGUAGGGUCCGAGCGUUGUCCGGAGUUACUGGGCGUAAAGGGUGCGUAGGCGGCCCUGUAAGUAUGGUGUGAAAUCUCCCGGCUUAACUGGGAGGGUGCGCUAUAGACUGCGGGGCUCGAGUGUGGGAGAGGAAAGUGGAAUUCCUGGUGUAGCGGUGAAAUGCGUAGAUAUCAGGAGGAACACCGGUGGUGUAAACGGCUUUCUGGACCAUAACUGACGCUGAGGCACGAAAGCGUGGGUAGCAAACAGG